GUCAGUAUUAGGACCAGCCUGGGGUGAAUGCCUACAGCCAACUGAGUUUAUAAUCUAGUUCAACUGUAUUCAUCUCCUGCACAAAACUGACUCCUGCCCCGCCUCUUCCCGGCUUGUGGCUCCCUUCCUGAAAUCCACUAGUCCGAGUUUUUCCUGCCGCUUCCGAACGCGAAGCUGUGCCCGGCAAGCUGGUCCCUGCUGCCCGCCAGCCAAACAUAUAUACUCGGCGCCACGAGUCUCAUUGGUGGGAACUGGCAAAGCAACUCCUCCGUGCUGACUUUUCCGCAGAAUUCCCGCAAAGGUGUUUUCUGCUGAAAUCCUCCAAACACCGGGGGACCCGCCCCAUAAGCUGUUCUAUUCCCCUCCGUCUGCAGCGGCUCUGCCUGCCCAGCCUUCUCCUGGCAUCGCAAGGGCUAAACUGCAACGUCCUUCCUACAAAGUCUCUGGAAAGCUGCGGUAAUCCCUACUCCGUCCUGUAGGCACGUUCAAGGCCAUUGAAACUACUAAUUUAGCUCUCAGAACGUACGUUGGUGAGCAUCGGGGGGGGAUGGGGGAGGGGGAUCCUUUACCCCCCCCCCCCCAUCCUGCUUCUAAAGGGACGUGAGGAAGUGUAAAAACAAAAACGCAGCUCGGGAUCUGAAGCUGAGCUAGUGCAGCCUGCGGGGGAUGCUGCGGUCACACACCGGAGGCCGGGGACGGCUUGCUGGCAGGUUUUGGAUCUCAGUUUAUGCACUAUCAAAUGCUCCAACAGCUACCUGCUGUGCAGAUAUAUUUACUGUUGAUUGAAGUGUGAGCCAUAUGCUUCAGAUACAACGGUGGGAGACAGUCAAGGUUGACUGCCACUCUCCUUGGAAGCUGGAGAGGCAGCUGCAUUCUUCCUGGAAUACGAGUCAACCUUCUCCAGCAGAGUCUGGACAAAGGCAGGAGCAGAAGGAAGACAGUCUCUACAGGCAAUAUUUAGCUUAAAAUAUUUAGUUUAGAAAAAAAUCCCUUUUAAAGAGCACUGUGCCAGGCAUUACAGCAACUAAUUCUUGCUAUCAUCAUCCAAAAGGAGUUACAAUAGGGCAAAUAGAAAAACCUACACAUACCCUGAUAAGGAUUCAAAAAUAAAAGUAAAAUGGAAAAAUCCAUGUGUGUUGUGUGAGUUAUAAAUCAUGUUUUCCUGGGCAAGGAAAACUUAAAGACAG
ensembl:lncRNA